rnacentral:lncRNA from 1 species
AGUCAGUCAGUCUCACUCUGCUUGUUCCAAGAAGGUUCCACUCAGUGCCUUGUCUGACCUGCUCUGGGAAUAGUGCAAGAAGCUUCUAUCUGCCUCAUCUGUUGUAGGAGCUGGACAGUGUGAGAUGAAUGAAGCUUGCAAGAGAAGAGAGUGUGAGCUAUGAAUAAGAGGCUGAAUACUUGCUCAGCUGGAUUCUACUUACAGUGACCUCCUUAGCACUAAAGCUGUUACUUCGUGGCCAGUUUACACUUUCAUGGCUCACACCUACAGCUACAGUGACAACAGGUGAAAUCCAGCCUCUCUCUAGCUGGGGCUCUUUAUUUUGCUCUCAUAUUAGUGCAGUAGAUUGGUGAAUCAAAUAAAGGAAAUCAUCUGAGUUAAAGGUCACUUAAGAAUCCGUUGCUCAGUUACUGUGCAGGUAAAGGAUUAAUUGUGGGCAGAUGAGGAAGAGAGCAGAAAUGUGUGACCAGGGAAAUGAGAGCUAGGAUGGUUUCUUCCAGCCACAGAGCCAGCUUAUGGCAGUUUAAAGUAAUCGUGAAGCUACAGUGUUCGUCUCAUCCUCCCCUCUCAGUUUCAGGCCUUCUGGCCCUAGCUAUAUACUUCACAUUGGGGUAAUUCAGGUUCUUCCAAUUGCCAAAAGAAUUGGAAAGAAACAGGAGAAAGGUACCAGCUGUGGCUCAAAGCAGCCACUGAAGAUCCUGCCUGGGUCAAGGAUGAAGGCAGCAUGAACCUUCCAAGAAUUUUGACUACGGAUGUCCAACGAGGUCUUCUUGACUCCAUGGCUUCUCACAAACUUGCACUUUGAGCCCUGGUAGAAGAUUUGAAGAAGAAAUGUGUAUUUUAUCACAACAGCUUUCUUGGGAAACUUUCUGGGAAGUUUCUUCUCUAAAGCACACAGGAAUGCCGUGUUGCAGUUAUGCAACUCUGAUGUCAGACCACAAUCUGGCCACCCUCCUGCUCUCUCCUGUCUAUCAGAUAGACACUCAUUUCCUAUCAAAAUGUUUCCAGCAAGCUGAACUCUUCAACAUCAGCUAGGUGAUAGAGUUACAAAAUUCCCACUGAAAAAUAUCCGUCAGCUGAUUGGGAAACCUGUUGUCUUCUGGUAAGUUUUGGUAUCUCACUGCCAGCAUGUCAGAGAGAUAAAAAUGUGUUUUAGUAACAUUGGUGCUAAGCUCUUUUCAUACCAAUAGUCUGCUCAAAGUGGCUUAGAGAAGCAGGGGCGUUGUCAUCUGCCAGCCCUCCCUCUGCCAGCUCUCCCGGCCCUGCCAUCCUGGCCAGGAGGCAUGCUGAAGGAGGAAGGAACAUAUUGGGAGUGGGAGGGGGAGACAUCAGGCAAAUGAACAAACUGUUCAUUCAAGGGGCUUGUUUGGAGCAAUUUUUCAGAGGUGCAAAUUAGAGCAGUCCAGAAGUUGUUACAAUAAAUCUGAUGUGCUUUAAGGCA